GACGAACGCUGGCGGCGUGCCUAAUACAUGCAAGUAGAACGCUGAAGGAGGAGCUUGCUCUUCUGGAUGAGUUGCGAACGGGUGAGUAACGCGUAGGUAACCUGCCUGGUAGCGGGGGAUAACUAUUGGAAACGAUAGCUAAUACCGCAUAAGAGUAGAUGUUGCAUGACAUUUACUUAAAAGGUGCAAUUGCAUCACUACCAGAUGGACCUGCGUUGUAUUAGCUAGUUGGUGGGGUAACGGCUUACCAAGGCGACGAUACAUAGCCGACCUGAGAGGGUGAUCGGCCACACUGGGACGGAGACACGGCCCAGACUCCUACGGGAGGCAGCAGUAGGGAAUCUUCGGCAAUGGACGGAAGUCUGACCGAGCAACGCCGCGUGAGUGAAGAAGGGUUUCGGAUCGUAAAGCUCUGUUGUAAGAGAAGAACGAGUGUGAGAGUGGAAAGUUCACACUGUGACGGUAUCUUACCAGAAAGGGACGGCUAACUACGUG
rnacentral:rRNA from 1 species